rfam:Lutibacter agarilyticus strain DSM 29150 genome assembly, contig: Ga0170404_101
GCACAUAUGGCGGAAUUGGUAGACGCGCGGGCUUGAGGGGCUCGUAUCCGAAAGGAUGUGCAGGUUCAACUCCUGUUAUGUGCA